GACGAACGCUGGCGGCGUGCUUAACACAUGCAAGUCGAACGGUGAACCUCUUCGGAGGGGUUAAGUGGCGAACGGGUGAGUCACAUGUGGGCAACCUGCCCCCGGCUCUGGGAUAACUCCAAGAAAUUGGGGCUAAUACCGGAUGUUCACCGCUUCCCGCAUUGGUGGUGGUGGAAAGGGUUUCCGGCUGGGGAUGGGCCCGCGGCCUAUCAGCUUGUUGGUGGGGUAGUGGCCUACCAAGGCGACGACGGGUAGCCGGCCUGAGGGGGUGACCGGCCACACUGGGACUGAGACACGGCCCAGACUCCUACGGGCGGCAGCAGUGGGGAAUAUUGCGCAAUGGGCGGAAGCCUGACGCAGCGACGCCGCGUGGGGGAUGACGGCCUUCGGGUUGUAAACCUCUUUCAGCAGGGACGAAGCGCAAGUGACGGUACCUGCAGAAGAAGCACCGGCCAACUACGUG
rnacentral:rRNA from 1 species